rnacentral:rRNA from 1 species
UACGAAGGGUGCAAGCGUUAAUCGGAAUUACUGGGCGUAAAGCGUGCGUAGACGGCCUGUUAAGUCAGUUGUGAAAGCCCCGGGCUUAACCUGGGAAUGACAACUGAUACUGGCGGGCUUGGAGUUUGAGAGAGGGUGAUGGAAUUUCUGGUGUAGCGGUGAAAUGCGUAGAGAUCAGAAGGAACAUCAGUGGCGAAGGCGGUCACCUGGCUUAAAACUGACGUUGAAGCACGAAAGCAUGGGGAGCAAACAGG